UGAGGAAUAUUGGUCAAUGGGCGGGGAGCCUGAACCAGCCAAGCCGCGUGAGGGAAUAAGGCCCUACGGGUCGUAAACCUCUUUUGUCGGGGAACAAAAGCGGGGACGCGUCCCCGUCUGCGUGUACCCGAAGAAAAAGCAUCGGCUAACUCCGUGCC
rnacentral:rRNA from 1 species